rnacentral:lncRNA from 1 species
CUUGAGUCACGCAGCAUGAUGCCUCAAGGAAAAAGGAAAAGUGCUGCGGUCUCCUCGGCUGCAGUUAUUGUGAUAUGUUUUGUGGCGCAAAUGGUGGACUGUUACCGGCUGAAGAAAAGGGAAAUAGGAGAUGGUCAAAGAGAUGCCAGUACAGCUGAAAAGCAAAGUGUCCAAGAGGGGAAGAUAGUCUUCGGGAGAGUUUUUAAAAAAGGGUCAGGCCUUGAGUCAGAAGUUUUUGACUGGACUGGGAAAUCCUCUUCAAACGCUUCUGUGGCGGAGGGCACGGCUUAUCAAGCAGACUCUGCAGGCUGGUCAAAAGGGCAAACAUAUGAUAGCAGUUCCACACAAUGGAAGCGCAUGGCACCUUCCCUGCAGUGUGUUGGAGACCGGAUGAGGUUUAAAGUAUUGGGACCAGGUGCUUCAGUAUUUGCACUGGACCAAGGUAGCGUGACACAGCUUAUUAGCUGUACCGUUGCUGUGUAUUUUAUACAUUGUAGAUAUUUGGACCAGUGUUUGCAGUCACUUUCAGACUCCCCUCUCCCACACACAGGAAGUGCACCUCCAAUGCCUCUGUCCCAGGUCCCUUCCACCUGUGGCUACCACGUGCAGAGGAACUCCCUUGGACUUACUAUGUUGGUUCCUUAUCAUGGCUGUAAUGUGGUUCAAGAGGUAACUUUUCUUUUUCCAUGAAAUAAAAACAGAAGAUGCUUGAACUGGAGAAAAAAAUGGUUGUUUUGAUGAGAAUUU